rnacentral:rRNA from 1 species
GACGAACGCUGGCGGCGUGGAUUAGGCAUGCAAGUCGAACGGUAUCAUCCUUUCGGGGGUGAGAGAGUGGCGAACUGGUGAGUAACACGUAGGUUAUCUACCCUCAAGACGGGGACAACCCAGGGAAACUUGGGCUAAUACCGGAUGUGAGCAACUUUUAGUUGUUUGAAAGGUGGCGUAAGCUGUCGCUUGGGGAUGAGCCUGCGUCCUAUUAGUUAGUUGGUGAGGUAACGGCUCACCUAGGCAAUGAUAGGUAGGCGGCCUUAACGGGUGGUCGCCCACACUGGGAUUGAGAUACGGCCCAGACUCCUACGGGAGGCAGCAGUCGAGAAUAGUCUACAAUGGUCGGAAGACUGAUAGUGCGACGCCGCGUUGAACGAUGAAUCCCUUCGGGGUGUAAAGUUCUUUUAUAUGUGAGCAGUGCUUCUUAUAUUAACAGUAUGGGGAGAGAGAUAUUAGCAUAUGAAUAAGCAACGGCUAACUCCGUGCCAGCAGCCGCGGUAAACUCG